rnacentral:rRNA from 1 species
GCUUACGGCUACACCACCUAAGCUAAGCAGGGUUGGGCCUGGUUAGUAAUUGGAUGGGAGACUGCUUGGGAAUAUCAGGUGCUGUAAGCU